rnacentral:lncRNA from 1 species
CUUUGGAAUUUUAGUUCAUGCUCUGUUGGUUGAGAUCCUUUUCCUGGGUGGAUCUUGCCACAGGGCCAAGGAAGUGGCUCCACUGCCAUGGAUGGAGCAGGGAUGGGGUUUCUGUGUCUCUGCCGGGGCUGGGGAGAGGGGAGAAGGGUCCCUUUGGGAAUCUGCCAGGAUGAAGGUGCAGCAGCUCCCAAUAACCCCAUCCUCUGCUCCAUGAACAGACUAUGCCAUGUCCAAGCCCGACAUCCUUUCCCGGAUCGAGAGGGAUGAAGAGCUCGGUGACAAAGAGGAUCAGGAGCCCCCAUGGACACGGGCUGGGGACAGACAGGAGCCCCCACAGGCACCAGAAGAGAUGGACCAGGCAGAGGAGUCUCUGGGAGCUGAAAUGCCCAUGGAAGCUGGCCCAGGAGUGGACAGUGCUGUGUCCAAGCCCAGUGGCCCAUCCCGGAUCGAGAGGGGUGAAGAGCUCCCUGAAAAAGAGGGUCAGGAGCCCCCACAGACACACAUUGGGAACAGCCAGAAACACCCACAGGCACAGACUGGGGACAGCCAGAAACAACCACAGACACGCUCUGGGGACAGACAGAAUCACCCACAGGCACAGGCUGGGGACAGACAGAAUCACCCACAGACACACUCUGGGGACAACCAGAAUCACCCACAGGCACACACUGGGAACAACCAGAAUCACCCACAGGCACACACCAGGGACAGCCAGAAACAACCACAGACACGCUCUGGGGACAGACAGAAACGCCCCCAGACACAGACGGGGGACAGACAGAAACAGCCCCAGACAGGUGUCCCCAACAAUCAGAAGCCCCCACAGACACCAGAAGAGACGGAGCAGCAGGAAGAGGCUUUGGGAGAAGGUCCUGUCCCCAUGGAAGGGGGGCCAGGUGAGUCCCAGGGGUGCCAGGGGGGUGUGUUUCUCUGGCAGUGCCCGUGGCAGAGGGCACAGCUGCUCCUGAUGCUCAGAGGAGCAUCCCCAGGGAGGAGUGGGAGCCUUGGGUCGCUGGCACGGGCCAAUGGAAGGGGGUUGAGGGCCUGGACAUGGGAAUACAGCCUGUGGAGAUGGUGGGAUGGGGCUGCUCUGUGGAGGUGAUGGCACAUGGCGCCUUGGUGU